GCCCUUAGAGUUUGAUCAUGGCUCAGGACGAACGCUGGCGGCGUGCUUAACACAUGCAAGUCGAACGGUCUACCUCGAUGGAAACCUUCGGGUUGAAGACGAGAUCUAGAUAGUGGCGGACGGGUGAGUAACACGUGGAUAACCUGUCCUCAAGACUGGGAUAACCUGGCGAAAGUCGGGCUAAUCCCGGGUAAGCUGAGAGUGUGGCAUCACACAAUCAGAAAAGGUGGUUUUACCAUCGUUUGAGGAGGGGUCCGCGGUAGAUUAGCUAGCUGGUGAGGUAAAGGCUCACCAGGGCGACAAUCUAUAGCUGGUCUGAGAGGACGAUCAGUCACACUGGAACUGAGACACGGUCCAGACUCCUACGGGAGGCAGCAGUGGGGAAUCUUCCACAAUGGGCGCAAGCCUGAUGGAGCAACGCCGCGUGAGUGAAGAAGGUCUUAGGAUUGUAAAGCUCUGUCCUUAGGGAAGAACCGUGGGUAUAGCAAAUGAUACCCAUCUGACGGUACCUUUGGAGGAAGCACUGGCUAACUACGUGCCAGCAGCCGCGGUAAUACGUAGAGUGCAAGCGUUGUCC
rnacentral:rRNA from 1 species